ACGCUGGCGGCGUGCUUAACACAUGCAAGUCGAACGGAAAGGCCCUGCUUUUGUGGGGUGCUCGAGUGGCGAACGGGUGAGUAACACGUGAGUAACCUGCCCUUGACUUUGGGAUAACUUCAGGAAACUGGGGCUAAUACCGGAUAGGAGCUCCUGCUGCAUGGUGGGGGUUGGAAAGUUUCGGCGGUUGGGGAUGGACUCGCGGCUUAUCAGCUUGUUGGUGGGGUAGUGGCUUACCAAGGCUUUGACGGGUAGCCGGCCUGAGAGGGUGACCGGCCACAUUGGGACUGAGAUACGGCCCAGACUCCUACGGGAGGCAGCAGUGGGGAAUAUUGCACAAUGGGCGGAAGCCUGAUGCAGCAACGCCGCGUGCGGGAUGACGGCCUUCGGGUUGUAAACCGCUUUCGCCUGUGACGAAGCGUGAGUGACGGUAAUGGGUAAAGAAGCACCGGCUAACUACGUGCCAGCAGCCGCGGUGAUACGUAGGGUGCGAGCGUUGUCCGGAUUUAUUGGGCGUAAAGGGCUCGUAGGUGGUUGAUCGCGUCGGAAGUGUAAUCUUGGGGCUUAACCCUGAGCGUGCUUUCGAUACGGGUUGACUUGAGGAAGGUAGGGGAGAAUGGAAUUCCUGGUGGAGCGGUGGAAUGCGCAGAUAUCAGGAGGAACACCAGUGGCGAAGGCGGUUCUCUGGGCCUUUCCUGACGCUGAGGAGCGAAAGCGUGGGGAGCGAACAGGCUUAGAUACCCUGGUAGUCCACGCUGUAAACGGUGGGUACUAGGUGUGGGGUCCAUUCCACGGGUUCCGUGCCGUAGCUAACGCUUUAAGUACCCCGCCUGGGGAGUACGGCCGCAAGGCUAAAACUCAGAGGAAUUGACGGGGCCCCGCACAAGCGGCGGAGCAUGCGGAUUAAUUCGAUGCAACGCGUAGAACCUUACCUGGGUUUGACAUGGAUCGGGAGUGCUCAGAGAUGGGUGUGCCUCUUUUGGGGUCGGUUCACAGGUGGUGCAUGCCUGUCGUCAGCUCGUGUCGUGAGAUGUUGGGUUAAGUCCCGCAACGAGCGCAACCCUUGUUCACUGUUGCCAGCACGUUAUGGUGGGGACUCAGUGGAGACCGCCGGGGUCAACUCGGAGGAAGGUGGGGAUGACGUCAAGUCCUCAUGCCCCUUAUGUCCAGGGCUUCACGCAUGCUACAAUGGCUGGUACAGAGAGUGGCGAGCCUGUGAGGGUGAGCGAAUCUCGGAAAGCCGGUCUCAGUUCGGAUUGGGGUCUGCAACUCGACCUCAUGAAGUCGGAGUCGCUAGUAAUCGCAGAUCAGCAACGCUGCGGUGAAUACGUUCCCGGGGCUUGUACACACCGCCCGUCAAGUCAUGAAAGUUGGUAACACCCGAAGCCGGAGGCCUAACCGUUGUGGGGGAGCCGUCGAAGGUGGGACUGG
rnacentral:rRNA from 1 species